rnacentral:rRNA from 1 species
UACGGGGGGGCAAGCGUUGUUCGGAAUUACUGGGCGUAAAGGGCUCGUAGGUGGCCAACUAAGUCAGACGUGAAAUCCCCAGGCUCAACUUGGGAACUGCGUCUGAUACUGGAUGGCUUGAAUUCGGGAGAGGGAUGCAGAAUUCCAGGUGUAGCGGUGAAAUGCGUAGAUAUCUGGAGGAAUACCGGUGGCGAAGGCGGCAUCCUGGACCGACAUUGACGCUGAGGAGCGAAAGCUAGGGGAGCAAACGGG